rnacentral:piRNA from 1 species
UCCAUCAGUGAGUGAAAAUGAGGUCCAUA